CAGGCUCAGGCUGUGUGUGUCUAUGCGGCUGUCUCAGACAGAUCCCCAGCCAGAUGAGCAGCUACCCAAUGGUUCCCCAUUUGCUCUUUAUUGUUGGCCUGUCCCCCUUGGGAUGGGCCGUCCGUCAGCCCCCAGACAUGGUGGUCAGUCAGGGACAGCAGCUGACACUGAACUGCUCCCAAAAAUCAACCAGUUUCAUGAACAUGUACUGGUACAAACAAGAUGUGGGAAAGGACGCAAGGCUGCAGCUGGUCGUGUUUUCUACAGAAGGCUUUGGUGCAAAUGUUGAGAAGCCAUUUGAAGGUCACUUCCAGAGCAGUGGGACAAAAAACUAUGUCCUGUCUCUGUUUGCAGAGAGUGCCCAGGUGCAAGACUCAGGCACAUAUUACUGUGCUAAGCAAGAUCACACAGUGACUCAGCUGCCGAAAGUACUUAGCAUAAACCACCCAGCAAAAUGAAAGGACUUCCCUUCCCCCACACCCAUGCACAGCCCUGCCUCCUGCUCUAAUACCUCUCUCCCCAUCCCUAUGUAUCCUCCUCUCCCUUCCCUAACUUCUCUUCUGCCUCUCUUUUCCACCUUU